GACGAACGCUGGCGGCGUGCUUAACACAUGCAAGUCGAGCGGUAAGGCCCUUUCGGGGGUACACGAGCGGCGAACGGGUGAGUAACACGUGGGUGACCUGCCCUUAGCUCUGGGAUAAGCCUGGGAAACUGGGUCUAAUACCGGAUAUGACUCCAUGACGCAUGUUGUGGGGUGAAAGCCUUGUGCGGCUAGGGAUGGGCCCGCGGCCUAUCAGCUUGUUGGUGGGGUNAUGGCCACCAAGGCGACGACGGGUAGCCGGCCUGAGAGGGCGACCGGCCACACUGGGACUGAGACACGGCCCAGACUCCUACGGGAGGCAGCAGUGGGGAAUCUUGCGCAAUGGGCGAAAGCCUGACGCAGCGACGCCGCGUGCGGGAAGAAGGCCUCGGUU
rnacentral:rRNA from 1 species